CUCAUACACUCCUUGAAACAGAUGUUUGUUUGCUCCCAUUACUCCUUCGGCCCUCUUGCCUCCUUUCUUAGCUGCCUCGCCUGUUUCCCAUCACCUUCUUCCUGUCCCCUCAAAAGGAGGAAAACACCAACCAACACACACAAAAAAACUUGCAGAUUUGUGCAAAGUGGGGACAGUGAACAGAAUCUGAAGAGAACAGAACUCAUGACAUAAAAUUCCUGUGUGCUCAGUGCAGCCCUUACUAGGUCAAGAGGGAAAGAAAUCACACUGGGGCCCUUGGAAAUGUUCCACAUUAUCCUUAACUGAUGGGAGACUACAGAGGCGAUGAAAAUGAUGCAAUCCAAAGAUGCAAAUCCACCUGCAUAUCCUAAAGAACAUCACAUUGCUCCCAUAUAUCAAUGGUGCCAUAUUGAUGUGGCAGGUGGAGCAAGCUGUGCUUAAUAUGUUGGAGACCUUGGUGAAAUACACGCACUCUAGAGGAUGAGAGGGAUUUGCUAGGUUUAGUGCUGAAAAUCCUAUAUCCUGGGAACACUUCUUAUACCUGCACAAACCAAGAUGCUUGGAAAACGAUGCAUUUACUUUGCAGAGGUAGUACAAUGGCUGCUGCAGAGUGUGGACAUGAUUAAUGUCACCUUAAAGUGCUGUCUGGCCCAGUUUUGCUUGUUUAGGAUGUAGCCUCAUUAAGACGGACUCCCAUCUUACUUUCCAAAUGAAGAAUCUGGGAGAAGAUUUUGAUAAGUGCUACAGCAGGCGGAAUUUUACUGCUGAGGUUGUGAGGGAGAAAGCAGCUUCCAAGGGGGCCCAGGAGGACAUAUACCUGCUGUAUUUGAAAAGCAAGCAGCCAGCAUUUUGAAUGAUUUGUAUACACUUCUCGAUUAACAUUGGCUAACUUAAAAUACCACCCCAUGUGACGUGGUCUUACUGCACCUGUCUCUUAGGUGCCUUGCCAUUUUGUUCAAGGAUAUCUGAACAGGUCUACAGCUGGAGUAAAGGUGUGAAUGGAGUAGCAAUUUCAAAUUAUUAUAAAAGCUUUCAAAUGCUUACUAGUGAGUUUUGUUCUUAUCAUAAACUAUGGAUGAAAAUCUUUGGAUCAGAAGGCGUGUGUGGACCCCACUGAGCAGAGGAUGUAUGCUACCAAAACAGGGAAGAAAAGCAUGAAAGGGGAAGACACCAAACAUAUGAAGAUCCAGAAUAAACGAAGUCACAGGACAGCAACUGAGAAGCAGGCAUAGAGCACAACUUCCAGAUUGGACAGGAACAGAGGACUCAAGGAAGAAGCUGAAAGGAAAAAAAGUAAAACAGUUGCAUUGCUGGCUCCCUGAAGUGCUUGACCAUGUGACAAAGAGUAUUCGAGAGUCUUUUAAUGCACAUGGAGAGCUUGGAAAGCAUUAAUAGUAAUGACAGAAAAUCAUAAAAGCUAAUAAAAAAGAUGCAGUUGUUAGCUGCAGGAAAAACAAAGUCAAUCAUGCUUAAAACCAUCAAAAUAAAAGUAUGAUAUAAUUGCAUUGGAGGAUGUAAAGAAAAGGAUGCAGGGCAUGGGGAUGUAAGAAUGCUUCUUGUUUUCCGAUAGAAAGCUAUUAGAUGAUGUCUAAGAAGUAUAAAUCAAGAGCUAACAGGAAAAGCUUAUUAUUUAGAAAUAAGGAGGUGGAUGAAAUAGUAAACUGUUAAAGGAAUUGUCAGUAGUUAUUUCUGGGGAGCAAUAUGCAGACUAGAAGUGCAGUAGGAGACUUCCGAUUUCAGGAUAAGGUUUGUAAAGUGAUUUGUCUUAUAAAGCUUUGUACAUGUAUAAAAUAAUUUAAUGAAGGGUACUAGUCCAAUUUAGUAUUUUUAUUCUUAACUGUAUCAAAAUUUUGAUCUACUAAAAUAUCUGUUUCACACAGAGUUUUUCUAAAUAUGUGUAUAUGUCAAUCACUAUUAACUGUUUAAAAUUACUCAAUUAUCAUGACUAUGUCUAAUAUUCCAAUA